UGAAAAAUUGUUGAAGGAACGGAGUGUAAACAAGGAUUUAAAAAAUAUCUAGUAAACUGAAAUGCAUAAAUUUCACAGUCGCUUCUCCGUCAUCUAGACUAAAAGGAGUUCAUAUGGCCAAGUCAAGGAAAGAAUCAGACUGAUCUAGAUGAAAUUGUUUAAGUUAUGAGGAACGCUUGCCUGUGGGAUCUCCUGCUAAAAAGACUUGCUGCUUUUUACUGUGUAUGGAUUUCUGCAGUGUACUGUGCUUUCUCAAAAAAUUGUCAAAACUUAUGUACAAGUAACCUGGAAGGAGAACCUGGAAUUACUAACCUUUGCAAUGUUAGUGACAUCACAGGAGCAUGCACACAGGGAUGUCAGUUUUGGAAUGCAACAGUGCAAAUCAAUUGCCCACUGAAAUGUAACAAGACAUACACCAGAACAUGUGAGACAAUUUCCUGUAAGUUUGGCUGUAGCUGUGCAGAGGAUGCAUAUGGAACUGAAGCCCAGAACUACUUGAACAAGCCUGGAGCACCAUUUGCAUCUACCAUUGAAAGCCACAGUGUCACAUUAGGGUGGAAACCAGCUAACAUCUCUGGGGUGAAAUAUAUUAUCCAGUGGAAGUUCAAUCAGCUCCCUGGAGACUGGAGGUACACAGAGGUAGUAUCUGAAAAUUCAUAUACAGUUAAAGAUCUUCAAGCCUUCACAGAGUACGUGUUUCGAGUAGUUUGGAUCAUUACAUCUCAGCUGCAGCUCCAUUCUCCAUCGAGUCCCAGUUACCAGACACAUGCUUUUGGAGCUCCUGCGACAGCUCCUGUCAUUAAAGAUAUUCAGAGUUCAAGUCCAAACACUGUUGAAGUCAGUUGGUCUCCACCACUUUUUCCCAAUGGAUUGAUUAUUGGGUAUAACUUGCUCCUGACCAGUGAGAAUCAUGAACUGUGGAGAGCAUCAAGAGGGCAUAGCUUUCAGUUCUACUCCACCUUCCCAAACAACACUUACAGGUUCAGGAUUGUGGCCGUUAAUGAGUUUGGUGUUGGACCCCCUGCCGAAGCCAACAUCACAACCCCAGAAUCCAAAGUUAAGGAAAAAGCAACAUGGCUCUUCCUAUCCAGAAACCAGUCUUUAAGGAAGAGAUACACAGAACAGUUCCUCGAAGCAGCCCAGUGCCUGCAAAAUGGUAUCAUACACAACAACAUUACAGGAAUUUCUGUGAAUGUUUAUCAGCAAGUUGUCUAUUUUUCUGAGGGGAAUUCCAUCUGGGUGAAAGGAGCUGCAAAUAUGUCCAAUGUAUCUGACCUAACACUCUUUUAUGCUGGCUGGGGGAAUAUUACAUCCAUCUCGGUAGACUGGCUUUACCAGAGGAUAUACUUCGUCAUGAAUGAAAAGAUACAUGUCUGCCAUUUAGAGAACUGCACGGCAGCUGAAGACAUCACUCCUCUUUAUGUGACAUCCCCUAGGAAGGUUAUAGCUGAUCCCUAUAAUGGCUAUAUUUUCUUUCUCCUGGAGGAUGGCAUAUACAGAGCAAACCUUCCACUCUUCCCUGGCACUGCUUCCACAGCUUCACCAGUAGUGAAAUCCAGCGCUCUGAGAGACUUCAUGAUCAACUUCCAAUCUAAGAGACUUAUUUUCUUCAACAAAACAGAAAAGGCCUUUGUGUCAGGUUUUCUUGAUGGUUCAGAAUUUCACACGCUGCGAUCACACGUGCCACUCAAUGACAUGGAGAGCUUUGUUUAUGAGGAUAACACAUUUACUGUCACAGAUGGCCGAGCAGUUUUCCAUGAGGAGGUCUCUCCAGUGGGGAGUUCUAGCUUCAAUGAGUAUGUUGUGGAUUGCAAUCUGGCGUAUCCAGAGUACUUUGGAUUUGGCAACUUGCUUUUCUACGGGGCAUCAACUCAGCCUUUUCCUUUACCAACUCCUCCUCGGCUUGUCAUGGCACUAUUUGGAUUGGACCAAGCUGUGAUCAGCUGGACACCACCUGAACACACUAUUGGAACCAGUCUAUCUGCUUGGCAGAACUGGACCUAUGAUGUGAAAAUAUCAUCUCAGCAUCCAUCUGAGGAGGAAUGGGUUAUCUCAAACAUUACUGACACUAGGUUUACAGUGAAGGAGCUGGCCAGCUUCACAGUAUAUGAAGUGUCAGUCAGAGCUGUGUCUCCUGCUGGUGAAGGGCCAUGGUCGGAGUCAUUUAGAGGCACAACUUUAGAAGAAGCUGAAGAAGAACCGUAUAUGUUGGCAGUGGGAGCUGAAGGUCUCUGGAAGCAGCGGCUGGAUAGCUACGGGCCAGGAGAACUCCUCUAUCCUCAUAUAAGAAAUAUUUCAGACCUCGACUGGUAUAAUGACACUCUUUAUUGGAUUAAUUCCAUGGGGGAAGUUCAGACCUGGUCAUUGAACGGAAGAGAGGGUACCAGUGAGAAUACUUAUGUAUCUGACAUCAGAAAUGCAAGGGUGUUGGCCUUUGAUUGGUUGGGUCAAUGCUUGUACUGGUCUGGCAAAGCAAAUACGAUCUACAGAAAAUCACUACUGGCAGGCCAUAUGGAUGUUGUGGCUCAUGUUGUGUUCCUAGUGAAGAAUCUAGUAGUGGAUUCUCUAAAUGGCUAUUUAUACUGGACCACAAUGUAUUCAGUGGAGAGCGCAAGACUGAAUGGAGAGGAGUAUCUGAUGUUACAAGAGCAGCUACCGUUUUCUGGUAAACAGGUGUUUGGUUUAACUUUGGAUCUCACCUACGGAUUUCUUUACUGGCUUGUGCAAGAUAGUCUAUGCCUAAACCUAUACAGAGUUUCUCUUUGCAAAGAGGGUUGUGGUAAUGCCAUCAUCACAGAAUUUGCAGCCUGGAGUACUUCAGAAAUAUCUCAGGGUGCAGUGGAGUACUACAGUGGUCGUCUGUUCUGGAUUAAUAAUCUUCAGUUCAUUACAACUCAGGAAGUCAACCAGAGCCUUAGCAUUCCCUUCUCCCAGCCAGCAGAGUUUGCAGCCUUUACCCUUGUUCACACAUCACUUAAACCUUUGCCAGGAAAUUUUUCUUUUACACCAAAAGUGAUUCCAGAUUCAGUGCCUGAGUCUUCCUUCAGGAUUAAAGGAAAUUCUUCAAGUUUUCACAUCACUUGGAGUCCCUCCACAAAUGUGGAAUGGGGAACUGUCUUUUACUGCGUGGGAUCAAAAGCUCUGCAAACUGUGGAGAAUGAAUGGUGCCUCCAUCCCCAUAACCUGACAGUGCCAUCCUACCAAGUUGAUUGGCUGGAACCAUUUGCACUCUUUGAUUUUACCGUCACUCCAUACACAUACUGGGGCAAGGCACUACCAACAUCUGUAUUGCUUCAAGCCCCUGAAGGAGUUCCUUCAGCCCCUACAAACCCUAGAAUAUAUGUGUUACAAAAUAACCUGUGUAAAAGUGAUGAAAAAGUCCUUGUGGAGUUCAGGUGGGACAGGCCUGAAAGGGACAACGGAGUAUUAACGCAGUUCAGAGUUUACUAUCAACUACUGAGUCAGAAUGGCACUGCUGACACUUUCACAGAGUGGAAUGCGAGCAAUAUCAAACCCACCCUGAUGUUCUUUUCUCUCACCGAUGUGCUUCCUAGCCUCAGAGUAAGGUUUCAGGUGCAAGCCUUCACUUCUGUGGGUCCAGGACCUUUAUCUGAUAUAGCAGAGAGGAAUUCAUCAGAUCUUUUCCCUGUCCCAAUUCUUAUAACUGUUUCUGCCAACAAGUUGGUUUUUACUGACAUAGACAAUAAUCAUACCAUAUGGGAACUUUCAGCAAAGACAAAUGUAAAGGACAUCUGUUAUACUGCUAAUGAUGACAAAGUGUACUAUAUCGUAGAAGAUUCUCUUUUUCUUCUGAAUAUACAGACUACUUCAAAAUUUCAGUUUUUCAAAGAUGCAUAUCUUCACAAUGCCACAGCCAUCACAGUUGACUGGAUUGCAAGACGUCUCUUUGUUGCCCUGAAAACAUCGUGGAAUGAAACUCAAAUAUUUGUUAUUGAUCUUGAGCUCAAGAUAAAAUCUCUAAAAGCCUUGAACAUACAGUUGGGUAAAAGUAAUUCAACUGUAUCAUCUUUGUUAUCAUAUCCUUUCUUAAGCCGCUUGUACUGGAUGGAAGAGCUUGAUUAUGGCAGCCGCAUGUUUUAUUAUGAUAUUCUGAAUAACACCAUGCACCACAUUUUGGGAUACAUAUCAGUGGAAGAACAGAUGAGGAACUACUGCACCUGUAACGUGGCAGAAGCAGAGCUAGGAAGACCUGUGAGUAUAGAUGUGUCUGACUCCAAGAAUCCUCAGCUGCUCUUUAUCAGAGGAAGAGAUGAAAUAUGGGCCUCAGAUGUGGAUGGUUGCCACUGCUGGAGAAUUACCAAAAUACCAAGUUUUCAAGGUCAGAAAAUUGGUAGCCUGACUGUAGAUAAGAAAUUUAUAUACUGGAGCACUGAAAUAAAGGAACACACUGAAAUUUGGCUAUCAAAUAAAGAAAGCACAAGCCAAUUUCUUCAGAAGAGGGCAAAUAAUGAGCUAAAAAUCUUAGCCUACAGCUCAACGGCGCAGUUGUAUCCAGAUAAAAGAUGCCUGAUUCUAUUGCCAGACACUGAGAAACCUACCAUCCUUGACAUGACAAACACCAGUUUUACGUUAAGCUUGCCAUCUGCCAUACCACAGCAGCUAUGCCCUGGUAUAUCACAGCCUACGCCGACAUAUCUGGUAUUUCUUGAACAAAUGACAAACAACAGCAGGAACUCAAGCUACCGUUUGUCUGCUCUACAGCAAAAGACAUUGGAAUUUCAGGGUCGUAUAGCCGUCAUAGACAACCUAGAGCCAUUUUCAAGUUAUGUCAUACAAGUUGCAGUGAAAAACUGCUAUUCAGAUGAGGAAAUGCUGCCUAUGGGAAAAGAGACAAUUGGCACAACUCUAUAUGGAGUACCAGAGGCAGUUGAUUCCAUUAAGACAGUGGUUUUGUCUGACACCACCAUCAACAUAUCUUGGAGUGAACCUCUGAAGCCAAAUGGACCUCUAGAAUCCAUCCGCUAUCAAAUCUCUGUCAAUUUAUUACCUCCUGUCCCAGCGACACCCUUGCGAAAAAGUGAAUUUCCAAAUGGGACGCUUGCCUGGUCUGUCAGUGGGCUCCAAUCUGGAAUAAACAAUUUAUUCAAGGUUCUUGCUUUUCAUCCCAAUGAGAACUGGUUUUCUGAAAGUGUCCCUGUUAUUGCAAAAACUUUUGAGACUCCACCUGCACCUGUCAACAUAGUUCCCAGAAAUACCAGUUUCAAGCUAGAAUGGAGAGCUCCUCUGCACGUCAAUGAAACCAGCUUCUGGUUUGAGCUGCGUAAGUGGCAAACAAAAAGUGACUGGUUUUCUCCUGCAAGCACUACGUGCACAGCAGAUCUUGUUUACACAUGCAAUCUCACAGGAACUCUUCCUUCAACCAACUACUUUGUGAGAGUAACAGUAGUUUAUGUUACAGGAGUGAAAAGCACUUCCUCUUCAGCAAGCUUUAAAACUACAGCUGGUGUUCCCAGUAAGCCAGGAGUUCCAAAAAGAGCAGAAGACACUAAAAACUCUGUACAGUGGGAAAAGGCUGAUGACAAUGGAAGCAACCUGACCUACUACAUCUUAGAAAGCAGGAAGCAGUCUGAGAAGACCAGCGAAGUGCAGCCCUUGUGGGAGGUGGUUUACAACGGCUCCUGUGCCAGUAUUUGCACAUGGGUGGCCAAGAACUUAGAAGGAACUUUCCAGUUCAGAGCGGCAGCUGCAAAUGUGCUGGGACUUGGUGAAUACAGUAACACAAGCAAGGAUAUAAUUUUAGGUGAAGAUGAUAUGAUCUCCCCAGACACCAUCAUUGUCAUUGCUGCUGUGAUUGGAGUUGUGCUGGGCUUGACUGUGGCCAUGCUUUUUGGUUUUGUACGGCACCAAAGACAGAAAUCCAGAAAACAGGCCUUCCCUGGACAGAUAGUGUUUAUCAAGGAAGAUAAAGAAUUAGCUCAACUCAGGGGGACGGCUGAGACAGUGGGACUAGCCAAUGCCUGUUAUGCUGUCAGCACUCUUCCUUCUCAGGCAGAGAUUGAAUCAUUGCCAGCUUUCCCCCGGGACAAACUGAACUUACACAAAUUGUUAGGAAGUGGAGCAUUUGGAGAGGUGUAUGAAGGAACUGCAGUAGAUAUCCUGGCAGAUGGAAGCGGAAAAUCCAAAGUAGCGGUCAAGACUUUGAAGAAAGGUGCGACAGACCACGAGAAGAGUGAAUUCCUGAAGGAGGCACACUUAAUGAGUAAAUUUGAUCACCCCCACAUUCUGAAGUUACUUGGCGUGUGCCUGUUAAAUGAACCUCAGUACCUUAUACUGGAGCUGAUGGAAGGAGGGGAUCUACUUAGCUAUUUACGAGGAGCCAGAAAGCAAAAGCUCCAGAGGCCCUUACUGACAGUGGCUGACCUCUUGGAUAUAUGUUUGGAUAUUUGCAAAGGCUGUGUCUAUUUAGAGAAAAUGCAUUUUAUACACAGGGACCUGGCUGCUCGCAACUGCCUUGUGUCUGAGAAGGAAUAUGAGAGCUCCUCCCGAGUAGUAAAGAUUGGUGAUUUUGGACUUGCCAGAGAUAUCUAUGAAAAUGAUUAUUACAGGAAAAGAGGAGAAGGCCUACUCCCUGUCAGAUGGAUGGCUCCCGAAAGCCUCAUUGAUGGUGUCUUUACAAAUCGCUCUGAUGUCUGGGCUUUUGGAGUCUUAGUGUGGGAAACAUUGACUUUGGGUCAACAACCAUAUCCAGGUUUCUCCAAUACAGAAGUUUUACACCAUGUACGAUCAGGAGGAAGGCUGGAAUCUCCAAACAAUUGUCCUGAUGACCUAUGUGAUUUAAUGACAAGAUGCUGGGCCCAAGAACCUCACAAUAGACCUACUUUCUCUUAUAUUCAGGACAAACUGCAAGAGAUAAGACAUUCUCCACCGUCCUUCAUCCACUACCUUGAAGACAAAGAGGCAACAACUGGAUUCAUCAACCAAGCUUUUGAAGAUAGUGAUGUUCCAUGUGCAGAUUCAGGCAGUGUUCUUUCAGGCACGUUAACGGAAACAAGGAAUCAAGAGGGCUUAAAUUAUUUGGUAUUAGUUGAAGAAGGCAACCAAGAUCAAGGAAGCAUCAAUUCUGCUGAAUUUUGUUAAGUCUGGUUCCCUCUGUUUGAAAGAAAGAGGAAAAGAAAAGGCUCUACCAAAGAAGACAUAACCCAAGGAAAAUAUUCUGCGCAUUGCCGUACUUACAGAGAUGUCUUAAAAAAACCCAGCAACUCUCUAAACCACUAAAACUACCAGAAAAUAUCACAAGGUGUAAAGUGAGACUGAGUCUAGGAUGUGAUAUCAAUACAGUAAGAGGAAUUCUUUCUGGAUUCCCUUGUAAGCCAGAGGAAGCCACCUAAAUAAGAGGAGAAACCUGUUCUGGGAAGAUUCCCUCUGCAAGAGCUGGAGGAACCAGAAAGUGAUGUUUGAACUCUGAAUCAUAAUUGCAUAGGGGUUCCUGUCAGCAAUUCCAAAAGCUUCUUAACAACAGCAUCAUUCUCAGGCUAGUAUAAAGCAGAUGGACCCAAUCUUCGUCUGCUGUAAAUCAGGUUAAAUAUGUUAAGCUAUGCUGAUGUACAGCAGUGGAGAAACUGCCUCCAAGUCUUUAGCUUCUCAAGAUUUGGCCUGAGACAGGUAGACCUAUGCCCAGGCAGUUCCUGAGCAAAAGAUGGAUAAUCUCCCUAAGCUUCCUCCUCUCCAUUUUAUUGCUGAGCAUAACAUUAUAUGGCAUGGAAUAUCUCUUUAUUUCUAGUCAUCUGCCUGGUUGUGUCCCCUCAUAACAUCUUUUGCACCCCCAGUCUAUUCACUGGGGGCAGGCAGAGUGAGAAGCAGAGAAGGCUUUGAUGCUGUGCAAGCACUUUUCAGCAAUAACUAAAAUAUUAGUGUGUUACCAGUAUUGCUUUGGUCGCAAAUCUAAAACAGAACACAAGACAAGCUGCUAUGAAGAAAAUAAACUCCAACCCAGUGUCUAACCUGCCUGGGAAGAGGAGAUGUUUGCCCCCAGGCGCUGAUCAGGGGAUGCCCUACGUGAGUCUCUGGGUCACAGACAGUUAGUGUCUCAAGCUCUUCCUUGUCUCUUGAUGCCAGCACAGACACUUGGCGAGAUCGCUGAGCAACGACGGUGAGCAUGCUUCAGGAUGUGAUACCACACACAACCCACUAGUGCUGGGCUCUCAAAUGGCAAUGACUGAACUCUGAGCUGUGCUUGGACAGACGUGGACAUACUAUGUGGCUUUAGUUGGCUUAUUUAAUCUCUCAGCGGCAGACUUGACAUCCAUAUGAAUAGAUGAAAAAUAUUUACUGCUACCUAUGAAUAGUAUUUACUACAACAUAACACAAAUGCUGUGGUGAUUAAUUAAAGUUUGUAAAUUAUUUUGGAAAUGUGAAGGGCCAGGGCAGAUGUUACUUACUUACUAAGGCAGCAUUUUCAGCGGCAUCAAUUCCAGGUCUGCUAUCUUCAGUCCCCUUGGUCUACAGCAGGUGGUAACACCCAACCGUCAGUGCAUUUCUGUUUUUCAGGGUUGCUUACAAGGCCUUUUGAGCCAUCACAUACUGAUGACCAGAUCUAUCCAAAACCUGUAUACCUCCUGCUUUCCAUUUGGGAUCGUGAUCAAGAUCCUAAACAGGAAAAACCAAUGCUUAUGACAAAAAUAUUGAGGCCUUACUGAUUCAAAGAUAAAGUUAUGGAAAGUUUGCAUGUAGCUGCUGCUGAGAGAUAUGCCAGGCUUCAGUGGGCUCACUCACUUAUCCCCAUGUGUCACAGAGGGAGUGCUCAGCAGUUUGACGUGAGCUCUGGGAACGUGGCUGUCAAGAGCUCUGAAGGGAAAACUUAUACAGCUUGAAAAGAGGAUUUUUUGAGAUGUGAAAGGCAAAAGACAUGGGGUGUCAAGAUGAUUUCUUCGUCUUUGUUAUAUUUAACAUUUAGGUCUCAUCUUCUCUGGGAGACUUUGUCAGUCAUUCAAUGGCAUCAUCCCAAGAUUUGAGGAACUUAACAAUGACCACCAGAAAGGCAAAGGGUUGUGCAGCUACACUGCUAACACAAGUGUUUUCUAUCAGUCUUUGUUAACUGCAAAAACUAGUAAGUGAUGGGGACAAGAAAGGCAAAAGCUGAGUUCAACACAACCUUGCUUAUCUGAGAAACUUGAGCCAAGGCCUAGGGCUGAGACUAAAGUUGUUGUUCCUCAGCUUUCCUGGUACCCUAGAUAACAGAGACUACUAAAAUCCUCCAGAUCACAAGGUCCCUCAAAAUUUGGUUCCCUCACCACUUGUAUGGAAGGGCACAAAGAUCCCUACAGCAGGGCCACUGCACCCUUGCUUCCCACAGCCGUUUUCAGCAGAGAAAGUUUUACCAUCUAUUUGAAUUGACUAAUAUCUACAGUUCUUUAUUUUUUCUUUCUUUUUCUUUGACAUCUGUGGCAUGCUGCCUAUGAUGGUUUGAGUCCUCAAGUGUGGCUUUACUGAGCAUAACUGGGUGAAACCAAUCCUCUGUGAUUCAGGUUUAGGACUAUGCAUUUUAAUAAUAACCGUGAAGGCAAGCUUUCUUCUGGGUUCAAAUUUACCUCUUUCUACAUAAAGCUGAUCUUAAUUCAGCUAUCACAGACCUGAAAAUAGUUGUUAUAGAAAAGACUGACUGUAAAAUAGCCCUGACAGGUCUGUUAAUGAUUAAAAAGUUCUAAUUCACCUUCAUUUCUUUUAAUUGAUUCUUGAAAGUUUUUUUUACACACACACACUGGAGUGAGUUGCAGGAGCUUGCAUACCAGGUGGAUUUUUCAAAC